GAGUAGCUGGGACUACAGGCGCCCGCCAUCACGCCCGGCUAAUUUUGUGUAUUUUUUAGUAGAGACGGGGUUUCACCGUGUUAGCCAGGAUGGUCUCGAUCUCCUGACCUCGUGAUCCGCCCGCCUCGGCCUCCCAAAGUGCUGGGAUUACAGUCUGGAGCCACCGCGCCCGGCCCUGAGGGCCUCAGCUUGUGUCUGUGCAUAAGUCCCAGGGUCUUGGGUGUCAAAUGUCAGGCCUUGUACUGAGCUGUCAAAGAGAAGAAUGGGCUGAGAUGAUUGAUGACUGGGAGGCCUGAAACCCAAACCUCCACUGCAAAUGCUUCUUUUACAAAAAAGCUGGGGCUACCCACAGCGCCUAUAUUCAAGGUCACUUCGCAUACCAUUACACCCACCACUGUAGGCUCCCGACAAGCCAGGCCAUUCACACAGGGGCCGACUUCUCAGCCUCGCUCACCCCCUGUCUCUCCACCCCUCCUCUGCUCCCCUCACAAACCCAUGCCCAAGUGUUGGAAUACUUAAUCCCAAUCAAAUAAAAAAGAUGAGCACAAAGAUAUGUAUUUUUUCAUCUUGUUUGGUUUUGUCUUGUUUUUCUUCAGGCUACAUUUGCUCUGAGAAGCCAUGAGCUGGAGCUUUCUGGAGCACAAGUCAGAUGACAAGAUUAUUAAUGGGAGCAGGGCAAUGUCAUAUCUGAUUUCAUGCAUAUUCAUGUAGGGAGCCACACAGCUGGGACCAUGCGCUGUGGAGAGGACAAAUAAAGAGUGCUCUACCCCCCACCCCCAGCAUGAAGAAUGUCAUUGUGGAGAUGAGGAGCCUGAUUGGAAAAGUUUAAGUAAUUGUAGCCUUUAUUUUGAAAAAAAGGGAUAGAAUUUGCAGAAACAACAACAAAACAAGGUUUGCUACCCUGGCCAAACUAAGUCAAUACUAAGUUAUACAGAACCUUGUAUCUAAGGGUCACCCACCUAGAAGCUCUCUGGAUUGAAGUAUGCAGAGAGACAACUUUUGCACUUGGUGUCAACAAAAGAAGUAAAUGUUUAGAAGCAAAAGAGAAAGAAGGAAGGAAGGAAGGAAAGAAGGAAGGAUGGAAGGAAGGAACAAAGGAAGGAAGAAGAAAGAAAGAAAGAAAAAGAAAGAAAGAGAAAAGAAAG
ensembl:lncRNA novel transcript